rnacentral:rRNA from 1 species
CGUGCUUAACACAUGCAAGUCGAACGAUGAUNNCCNUNNUUGCUGGUGGAUUAGUGGCGAACGGGUGAGUAACACGUGAGCAACCUGCCCCUGACUUCGGGAUAACCGCGGGAAACCGUGGCUAAUACCGGAUAUGACGCGCUAUCGCAUGGUGGUGUGUGGAAAGAUUUAUCGGUUGGGGAUGGGCUCGCGGCCUAUCAGCUUGUCGGUGGGGUGAUGGCCUACCAAGGCGACGACGGGUAGCCGGCCUGAGAGGGUGACCGGCCACACUGGGACUGAGACACGGCCCAGACUCCUACGGGAGGCAGCAGUGGGGAAUAUUGCACAAUGGGCGCAAGCCUGAUGCAGCGACGCCGCGUGAGGGAUGACGGCCUUCGGGUUGUAAACCUCUUUCAGUAGGGAAGAAGGCCUUCGGGUUGACGGUACCUGCAGAAGAAGCGCCGGCUAACUACGUGCCAGCAGCCGCGGUAAUACGUAGGGCGCAAGCGUUGUCCGGAAUUAUUGGGCGUAAAGAGCUCGUAGGCGGUUUGUCGCGUCUGCUGUGAAAACGCGAGGCUUAACCUCGCGCCUGCAGUGGGUACGGGCAGACUAGAGUGCGGUAGGGGAGACUGGAAUUCCUGGUGUAGCGGUGGAAUGCGCAGAUAUCAGGAGGAACACCGGUGGCGAAGGCGGGUCUCUGGGCCGUUACUGACGCUGAGGAGCGAAAGCAUGGGGAGCGAACAGGAUUAGAUACCCUGGUAGUCCAUGCCGUAAACGUUGGGCACUAGGUGUGGGACCCAUUCCACGGGUUCCGUGCCGCAGCUAACGCAUUAAGUGCCCCGCCUGGGGAGUACGGGCCGCAAGGCUAAAACUCAAAGGAAUUGACGG